UAUAAAGUAUAGCUGCAACUAUUGAGAUGUUGAUUCCUUAAGAGCAAGACUUUUGGAUACGAAAAAUGAAGCAGGUAAGCAUGCGCCGCCAAAAAGAGUUUUGAAGCAUUAAUUCUUGCAGACCACAAAGCCUAUGAUUAGUUUAAUACGCUAGAACAUACACCGGUUACAUGGAUACCCGAAUAUGAAGAGAGCUUCCAACCUCCAAGAGAAGGAUUAACCCCAAAUCCAGUAAUCAGGAUACCCGAACUUAUUUAACAACUCGGAAUUAGUGCGAUACAUUACCAGAGGGGUUUAGGAUACGUGUAAAUACAACAUCGUAAAGUGGUAACAGAUGCCCUAAGUAAGAAGUUUUUGGGAAAAAUGCUUGGAUAUUAAGGGUAUAGCUAAAGGAGUCAAACUAAAUCUAUUGCGAUUUUAAAACAUAGCAAAGACGAAAUGCAGGAAGCGUGAGGGGACGAUAAAUACCUACCAAGGAUGUCGAAGUCUGGCAAACGAAAGGGAACUAAGAAAGGAUUUAUAUGUUUAAUGUCGAAGUAGAGAUCGUAGAGUCAAGGACUUAAGGAGUGCAAUAACAGUGAUAAGGAGCUACUAAGAGAACCAAAGCCGGCUGAAUCAAGAAGACACCAUGAGCGGGUUAUGUGUCGAGAUUAGGAGUUAGAGUGAGAAACUGUUGUCCGAAGAAUACAAGAGAGGAUUUUUGAAGUUACCUUGGGGUCUCUAAGACGUAUCGCGAAUUCAAGAAGAUAUUUUGAGCCGCCAGAAGUGAAGAACAAAGUGACGAUCAAUGUGAUUACAUGUCCGACGCAUGAGAAAGAAAAGAGAAUAACCAUCGAUUUCAUAAUAGAUUGCCGAUGACUAGGACAAAAGGUGAUACUAUUAGUGAACUGUAGAUCAAGUGACCAGGCCCGUUUUGCCCAUCGGAGUAGACCACUUCUUGGGGAUAUCAAAGAGACUAUACAUCAGGGAGAAGGUGAGAUUUCACAGUAUGUUAAACACAUUUGAAUUAACCGAAAACUGGAAUACCAAACGUCUUAGUUCCUGAAUUUGACAGCCGAAACAACGGAGGGAGAGUGACACAAAUCUAAGUUAGAAUUUUCACUAUGAAAGCCGACAAAAGAGUUAGGCAGAUCUAGGAAGAAGACUUCUCAAGUUGGAAGGAAGAGGAUACCUAUUUCUGAAGAUCACUUCAACGAACUAAGAUCGGAUGAUCAAUCAAAAACUAAAAAGCUAAAUUCCCAUCACAUCGGACCAGUGGCAUAUAGGAUCGCUUUACUAUCACAAUGUUCGAACCUGCAUGAUGUGUUUCACAUAUUACAGCUUCAUAAAUACACUUUCGACCCAGUUAUGUCCUACAACCAGAAUCAGUCCAAGUAAGAGAAGGUCUGACGCUUCCAGUAACUCUGGUUAGGAUUGAUGAUACUAGCAUUAAACGUUUACGCGGGAGCGAGGUUUUCUUAGUGAAAGUAACUUGGUGUUGGGCUGGUAUUGAAGAAUACACCUAGAAGCUUGAGACAGAGAUGCGGAAGGACUACCCACACCUCUAUUCAGGUAGCGCACUCUGAAUUUUGAGGACAAAAUUCCUAAUUAGGUGGGUAGGAUGUAAACCCCGCUAAAAUCGGUAUAUAAUUAGUCAAUAAAUCGAAUUUUCAAUAGGAAAAUUAAAUACGCAAAACUGAUAUCAAAAUAGGAUAGAGCUCGUCGAAACGAGAAUUUCGAUACCAAUUUCGAAAAGUUUGGCCCAAGAUUGGGCCGGAUGGGCCGGACUGGUUGAACCGGACCCAAAAUGGGCCCAAGGCCCAACCGAACCCAAUCCAUUAAAGAGGCACAGCUUCUUAUUUCCCUUCUUCUUCAUUAUUCACGCUGGGAAACAUUUCUUAGGGGGAAGAAGAACACAAGCAAAAACCUAACCCUCACUUUAAUUUCAAAUCCAUGUAACUUUUGAUCCGGAGCUCCGAUUGACGAACCGCUUGCGGCCACGCGUUCACCGCGACGAGCUCUAUGAAACCCAUGGAACAAUUUGGUUCAAGUUAGCUUCCGGAACUUGUGGGCUCAAGCUAUUGAGCAUAUGGGUAUGGUGUAGAUUAAGUGGGUAUAUAUGCAUUGGGAAUGUUUGGAGGCUUGUUGGUGAUCAAAGCUUAGUUUGUGGCUGUUUUACUUGAGCUUGAAGAGGCUGUAAUUUUGUGUUGAGAAGCUGCCUUGGGUGAAUUAAGUGAUCGGCCAAGGUAUGGUUUAAGUUUCGUACGUUUAAUAUUUACGGUGUUGUGAAAGCUUAGGUUAGAGAUACCAUAGGAUAAGUUGAAUUGUUUGUUGUAUUUAAUGAUUAGCCUUGUAAUGUUAUUGGAAAGGAUUUGUUGGUGGAUAUAUAUAUAUUGGAAUUAUGAGGUGUGGAAGUUAUUAAUAGUGUGUUCUUAUAUUUAUUUAUGAUGGAUUAGGAUUGGUGUUUGUUAAUAAGGAUGUAGAGUUGUGUUGUGGUGGUAUUGCAUGUGCUGUAACUAAUUAUGUAAUGAUCGGAUUUGCAUGAGACUAAAUCUGGGUUAAACUUGGGAAUAUAAGGAACUAAACUGGAAAAAUUGGGACCUUUUUGUUAAAUAUACAAUUUAUGGCAAAUUUUUAAAGAUAGGUUGUUAAAUCUGUCCUGCAGCAGAAAAUGUCAAACAGGGCAGCAACUUGUUGGUCUUGCUGCGACUUCUACGAGUUGAGUUUUGGAGCGAAACCAAUUUUGUUAUAAAAUUUGAUUAAUUUUCCUUAUUUCUCUAAAACUUCAUAAUUUUAAGAGUUGAGGAUUGGGAGUUGUGAGUUUUUGAAUAUUGGCGGUCAGAGCUGAAAAGAAACAGAUUUCAGCAAGCUAUGCAUCAACUUCCAAUGCUUGUAACUUUUAGAAUUGAAUAGCAAUUGGGUUGUAACCAAGACACACUUGUUUCUGGAUGAGUAAAGUUUAACUACAUUAAUUUUUAAAGUCAUUGGAUUUAACUUGGAUUUUAUAUUGAAUUUUGAAUAUCACAUGC